AGGUCUGUGUCUUUAUUCCUGUCUUAUUACCCUUUGUAAUUUUUUUAAUGACACAUUUUAUUUGUAUUGUCACCUCCCUUGAUCACGAGCCCCUAGAAAUCAGGGAUCCAAUUCAUUUCACUAACAUUGGUUUAGAUACUUAGGAUUAGCAGUGAACAAAGCACACAAAAAUCCCUAUCCUUAGGGCGUUUACUUUCCAGUUCAAGGCGACAGACAAAGUUUAAAAAGGGGGGGAAAGUGUAUAUGUAUGACGGUAAGUGCUAUGUCAAAAACAAAAUGGGGAAGAGAAAUAGGGAGUGUGCUGAGAGGGAGAAAGGGGAGGUUGCAGUGCAGUUGUGAAAGGGUAAUCAGAGAAGACCUCACCAAAAAGAUGAGUCAAGAGCUGAAGAUGGUGAGGGAUAAGCCACUCGGGGUGAAGAGAAUUGCAGGCAAAGGAAAAUAGCAAAUGAAAAGACCUGGGGGCAGGGGCAUGCUCAGUGUUUGCAGAAACCAGCAAGGGCCCGGAGAAGGUGGGGCAGAGAAAGCAGCAACUAGAACAGCAAGAGGUAAAGUCAAGAAGAUGACAGCUGAACAGGUCACGUAGGGCCGCGUAGUGUGUGGAGUGCCUUGUGAGGAGUUUGGGUAGUACUCUAAGUAAGAUGGAAGCCACCGGAGGGAUUUUUAGCCAAAGAAUGAUAGGUUUAUGACCUGUUUGAGAAUUUCUGAUUACCGUUAGGAAAAAGACUUGGGGGGGAGGGGAGAGGGAGCCAGGCUAGAGAUACUGAUGACUCCAACCUGGAUGGCAUUAGUGUAGAUGGGAAGAAACGAUCAGAUUCUGGUUCAAGGUAGCCAAUAAGAUUUGCUCAUAGAUCUAACUAUGUGGUGUAAAAAAAGGAGUCAAAGUUUGGCACCUGAGCAAACUAGAAGCCUGGAGUUGUAGUUAAUUAAGGUGAGGAACCUGGGGGCGGCGGGUGGGGGGUGGUGGCGUUCAGCAGGACUGGAGACAGAUGAAGAGCCUCGCUUUUGACAGGUUAAGUUGGAAGUGCCUGUUAAGCAUCCAGAUGGAGGCGUCAGAGCCGCGGACAUCCGGACCUGGAAUUCAGGAGUGCGUUCUGGGCCAGGCACAACAUUUGGGAUUCAUGAGUGGAUAGGUGAUAUUUACAGCUGUGGGACUGGAUGAGAUCAUCAAGGAAAUGAGUGCUGCUAGAGAAGAAAGAAGUCUGGGCACUCCAACAUUAAGAAGCUGAGGACAGACACGAGGAAUCAGCAAAGGAACCCAGGAAGGAGCAAUCAGGAAGUAAAAAGGAGAAUCCUUGGAGAGCGUGGGGACCUGAAAAGGAGGUGAAAAGUUUCACGGAGGUGGGAAUGAUCUACAGCUUCAGAUGUGACUGAUGAGCCACCUAAGGUGCGGAUGUGGACCGAAAUGGCCAUUUUAUUUAGCAACUGACUGAUGGCAAGCAUCGUUUCGUUGGAGUGGCGAGAUCAAAAGCUCUGUUGGAGUAGGUGCCAAAGGUAAUAGAAACUGUAGACUUCUGACAGUUUUGCAGUAGAGAGAUGGAGAGGAGUUUUCUUUUUUUAAGAUGGGGAGAAUUAUACCGUAUGUUGAUGGGAAAGAUAAACAGAGAGGGAGAAACGGAUGAGUAGGGCAGAGAAGCAAUGUCCUUGAGAAAAUCAUUUGUGCUUUACUGGGGGUGUUUCCAAAACUCCCUGCACUUCCCUUGGACAUUUCUUUCUCUUCCUGAAUAGACUAGGAGCUCUUGGGAAGCACAGUGUCCCCACUUAAAGCAGUAGUGACCUUCACGAAACUUGAGCUCUACUAGUUAGGCAGGAGAAAAUGGGAUGUAGCACACAAGUGAAGUGAUUGUCCUUUUCUGGGAAUGCAACAUCUCAUCCCAUCCAUAGUUAAUAGAACAAGCAGAGGGCAAGGGGAUAGGUCCAGGCUGGAGGGUAGAUGUGGUAGUGGGAAGCUUUCUUGUGGCUUCUACACCUCCACGAAGUAGGAAGUGGUUAUUGGCUGAAAGGGAGGAUCGGGGGACCAGACCUCAUGUGUCUGUGUGACUCCUCUGCGCCCAGGAGAGUGGUCAUUUAUUGUCAAGAGAAUAAAUGAAUGGUUAAGUGAAUUGUUUAGCUAGAUGGGCCUUUGAUUUUAUAGUUACAUGUUAAUAAUGAACAAGUAAUUAAAAUUCCCCUAGUGUCUGGAAUGGCUGUUCUUCAUCAAGUAUGGUUAGCAAAUAUUAGCUGACUUGAAUCUUGAGCACCUUAAUAUUUUCUUUCCUUGAAGUGAUUUUCCUUGUCAUUGAGGAAUCUACCUUGAUACCAAACUUAACUAGAUUUAAAUUUUUAAAUCAACAAAUUUAAGUAUUUAUAACUAAUGCUGCUUUACAUGCUGGAAGCGGGAGAAACUUACAUUUCCCAAAGAGCUCAUCAAAGUCUAGUCAGGAAAAGAGAUGGCCUAGGUAAGCACAGAGAGCUCUCAGGAAAAUGGCUUAUCAAAAAUCCUUUCUUGCCCAUUCAGAUGAUUCUAGAAAAUAGAGCAGUGUUUACCCCAGGUCUACUUUGUAACGUAGUAGUGAGAGAAGGAUGCAGAGAUGCCAACUCCUGUUACCCUGACUUCUACCCCUGGUUCCAUGGGAAGACACUUCCAGUUCCAGGCCUUCUAUCCCUUUACCUUACUCAGGAAGUAGGGAAUUUGAAGGGCAAGUUUCAUUUCCAGAGAACCCAUGGGGCAGUGAGCUAAGGACCAGGACUCAUACCUUCUAUUAUGUUUCUCUUUCCUGUUCCUGUCCUGACUUCCUGCUUCCAAGGUUCAUACAUAAGAAAUGGGGCUCUUCUUAGCUUAUUUUCUGUGAAAACCUGGUCAGUGACAGACCCGAAACAUCACAAUUGGCUCAACCACUUAAUUUUGCCUAGAGAGUCAGGAAUUAAGAAAUACUUAGUCAGCUUUUUUCCUGAUUGAGUCUUGCUGAACAGUACUUUUGCUGUGUGAUUAUUGCACACUUAUACCCAACUAAUUAUCUGAACUUAAAUAGGGUAUGACUCUUCUUUCUUAACCUAAAUUAAUCAUAAUAAUAUUCUUUAGACUAUCACACUUACACAGGCUAAUAGUUGCUGGCUUUUCACCUUAUUUCUGAAGGAUAGCAUGUUUGGAUUCUGUUCUCAGAUUUUUCAGUGCUAGGUCUAAUUCAGGCCCUUAUCUGCAGGAGUCUUUUAAGUCACCCUCUUGUCUAUACAAAGGACUCCAAUCUCUUCUUCAUGCUGAGGUCACAUUAAUCUUCCCAGAGUAAGCACACUCCUUGCUCACAGACUUCAGUGGCUGCCCACUGUUUUCAGAGUUGAGUCCAAACUCCUUAGAAGCCCAGCUUUCUGUCAUGACAUCAGUACGCCCCCAUACGAUGAAGCAGCAUCGAUUUCAGUAGUAGGUUCAGAUGCACUGGUUUUUAGUAAAAUACCAGAGUCAUUCUGGCCAAUGGCAGCCGUUCUAUCACUUAAAAAUAUUUUCUCAGAGAAAUAGCAAUAGUGACUCAUUGAGAAAACUUCCUUAAUCUUCUGACUCUUCUUCAAGGCCUUUCUGCUCAUAGGACUGACUACAACUCUUUAAUGCUCUGACACUUUUAUAAUUUCUUUUACUACUAGCGGUUCAAAGUAUUGAUGCAUAUAACCUUGUUGCUGGCUGUGUUAAGUUUCAAGCAUCAGAAAAUAGAUUGCUUAAGAUACUUUGCUUGGCACACCAGUAUUUUAUAUCUGAAUUGAUAUACUUGUUACUUCAAGACAGAUGGUGCAUUGCUUCUGUGCCUAAUAGCAUUUGGCAGUGCUGAAAUUUAGCCUUCUGUUCAAUCCAGAAUAAUUCAGUGAUGAGUGGGCAACUUUGUGCUUUUUAUUUUUAUUUUUUUGCUGGAUUUGAAUAUUUGGAAGUGUUUUAGCUUACUUACUAACUAUAUGUAAGCGCCUUCAUAAAAUGACAUUCCAAGUGUAGGCAAGUACAUAAUCAGCGGAUGAGCACUGUGUAUCAGUUUGGCGUUUGGCACCACUUGUUUCUAUUUUCAUUAUAGUGAUAUGUUUCUAGAAAGAUUAACGAGUAUUCGGCCACAUUUAAACAUGGGCACAAAACUUUCCAGGUUUAAAGUUAACUGUUAGGCUAAGGAGAGUUAACAUCAAAGGGGAGGGUUUGCAAAUGUUGUUGAAGUGAGUCUAAAGGAGCAGAGGUUUUUAGGUCUCAUGUUGAUUGUCUCCCCUCAGUUUCAUUUGAUUCCCCUGGUUAAUAACCUCUCCUCAGGCACCUUGCUAAGACAGCCAUUUCGUUAUUUAAGGCCUGGCUGGAAGAUUGCAAUAAAUAGCAUCUCUAAAGCCCUGUAUUUUUGUUACUUAAAUUAGAAAUCGUUUUGUAUUCUUUCUUAUUUGCAGCUUGUUAGAGCUUUCCUAGUGAUUUGCUGGAAAUGUAUUUUCUCUCCGUGUAUUUUCAAAGUAGGAUUUAUGUAAUUCUGUGGUUAUCAUUAGGGGAAGACUGGGUGUUAGGAUGCCAAAAGCCCACAACAUGAGAACACUCCAGUGGGGACAUCUGAAGAGAAACAGCAAAAGCACCGUCCUUCUGCACUUGGUUGUGGGUUCUGUUUGUUGAUGGAGGAUGUUGAUGGUUGAUUUAGGAGAGGGCACUGUGAUGUGGAGAAAACGUCCAUCCCAUUUAAGCUUUGGGAAAAGGUUUACUCCUUUGAGCUGGUGUUAAAGAUACUGUAUUGCCUGCUCUCCUAAUUCUGGAAGGAUAAAGAGAUCAAUAAAAAGUUUCGACGGAUUCUGUAAGUCAGACCUGUUUCUAUUUUUUCUACAUUUCCAGAGAAGCCAAGAUCACAAAGACUGGGGCAUUCUGUAUUACUAUUGAUUCUAUAAUGUUACUGUAAAUUCUUUUUCUGACAGUGAUAUAUUGUGCACAGGUACUCUGACCACUUCUCUAGAUUCAUUUCGUAUAACACACCCAUGGACUGAACUUCAGAGUCACCGCUUCUUUAGCAUCUACAACUUGUCUGGAAGUUGUCUGGAACAUGUCUGGAAGACUCAGUUCCUGUCUACUGUGUAGUGGCAUACCUGGGACAACGGAACUAGAAGAGUGACUUAGAAGGACACAUUUACACCCAAAGGACUCACGGCUUCUCUGAAAAUCCCUGCAAUCUGCUUAUUUAACACAGUAGGGAUAGUAACCUUAGCUCUUAAGUCCGGGUCCUGCCCAGGAAUCUUUAAAAUCAUCAUUUCCAAAAUAAAACGUUACCUUCAAAUAAAGUAUUUAUUACACAUAUAUGAAAACUAAUUACCAAGAGUUGCCACCUGACAUAUUUUGACACUUUGUCUUGAUAGAAAUGAAUAGAGAGAUCACAACUUCUAAAUUUUAGUUGUAUUAUCACUUAGAGUAAUUAAAGGUCAUUGAUGUAUCCACAAUAGUUACUUCAUGAGUAAAACACUGCAAGAGUAGUUAUUUCAAUUCUAACUCCUGGGUCUUCAGAUUCUGAACUCUAGGGUCAAAAUAGUUUAAUUAAACACCAGUCUGUGAUAGAGUAACUAAGCUUUCAAAUUUCUUAUGUACUGUCUUAUUCUGUCAGUGGAUUUUUUUUUUUCAACUUCUCUGGGCCUGACUUUCCUCAAUUAUAUAACUGAACAAAAAACAAUGAACAACACUGCAGAAAUGUUGGGAAAAUGAUGGGAGAAUUUUGUUUAGUAGUAAAACACUGAGCAGUGUAAAGUGUCUGGAGAGACUUUUUUUAAGCAGUAAAACAAUGCAAUUGCAAAUUGUAUGGAUAAUUAUAUUUUUGAGUACAGCAUGAAGCUUCACUAUUAGAACAUUGUUUUUGUGCUAAUUGGUUGUGUCGCAUCGCAAAUUGUAUGGAUUAUUAUAUUUUUGAGUGCAGCAUGAAGCUUCACUAUUAGAACAUUGUUUUUUCUUGUGCUAAUAGGUUGUGUCGCAUCUUUUUUUGUUGUUUUUUGUUUGUUUGUUUUUGUCUCUGGGCUCUGAAGAUUGGAGUUUACUCUUAAUUGCCAAGAAGGACAUAAAAGAGGUGUGGUGGAAGGGUCUGCCAGAACCAGAGGCUAAGCACACAGCAGUAUAAAACAAAUUCUUUAUUCCAGCUUCCAGAAUUCAUCCUCUUCAAACUUUCCUGUUCACUGGAAUAACGAAGCCAUUAAACAGUGGUGUCAAGAAGUCUCAUCCAGUGGUUGAAGCUCGGUAGAAAACAAGGAAGCAGGCAGUAAAGUACCUGAAGUGCAAGGGGACAAAAUGAUUGGCUCAAGAUCACACAGACGACAUCUGCUAAACCCAGGCUGGUAUUUCUGCCAUCACAGAACCUACUCUACCUAAAUAGUGCUGCUUGCUCCUUUGGCAUGGAAAGUGUACUUGAUGCAGAUGCCCUUUAUUUCUCACGUGUAUUAACCACUUUGCCUAAAAAACAAGCUCAAGAAAAGUGGAAUGAUAAUUAAGAAUGAUUGAAGAUUAUUGAUUCAAUUAGUAUGGAGAUGUUUAAGAUGGAAUUUUAAGGUUUUAUAAAGAUUGCACAAAGAAAAUGUGCUAAACGAUGUAGAUAACUUUAAAAAUUUAUAGCAGUGUUUUACCUAUGCUAUUUUACGGAUGGUGAACUCAGACCAAUGUUAGCCUUGUCAUAGUUUAUAUGCUCCAAUGCAGAAGGAAAGAAACGCAGUUGUAGUUUGGUCUGGAAGGUUGAAGCUCUUGGGUAUUUUGGGAUUGAUGGACAUAUUGCAUUUUGUAGGUUUUACACUGUAUAAUUUUCUUAAAGAGGAGUAUACAUACAGUCCUGUAUAUGAGGAUUUAAAUAGUGAUUUUAUCAAAAUUGUGUAAAUACACAAGUUACAACUAUGUAGAAAUCAUGUUUGUGGAUAGAGAUUAAAAGAUAACACAUUAGGGUGGUGAGAUUAUGGGUGAAUUUAAUCUUCCCCUCUAUAUGUGGUAACAUUGUUUUUAUAAUAUAAAGGGGAAAAUGGUUUUUAUUGUCUUGUAAAAAUUUGCCACAAUCUCCACUUUAGAAAGGCUUGUUUCCUGUCAAUGAGGUACCUUGUAAACAACUGAAAUUCAAAAGAUUUGGUUUGGUUUAUUUACUUCAGUUCUAGUUUAAUCACAGAAACCAAGGUUAAACUGGCAGAAGUACAUAUUUUCAAACCUUACUGGGAAUUUUGAGCGAAAAUAAAUGAUUGCCCCAAUCCCAGCAGGCUGUUUGCUGGCAAUGUUCAGUGCAUUGUCGAUGUUCAUACUGAUGAAGAAAUGUUUAAUAAAUGUAGCUGUCUUCAAUUUGUGUUUUUCUUUGAAACGGUGCAAGGUUAAAAGAGUCACCAGUAAAGUUCAAGAGAUUUUCAAAAUUAAAAAUUAGAAUAGCUGUUGAUUUUGCAUGCUUAGACCUAUGUUUUGGUUGAGAACUUGUAUUUCUCAAAUCAUGCAUGGAUCAAAUUGAGGUAUAAAAUAACAUUUCACAUAUGUGAAAGAAAACUUGUACUUUUAUGAUAUGUCGCACUUCAGUAAUAACAGUGUAGCCACCCUUGAAUUGUGUAUAAA